rnacentral:rRNA from 1 species
CGACCGGCGCACGGGUGAGUAACACGUAUGCAACCUGGCCGUGACAGAUGGAUAACCGGGAGAAAUCCCGCCUAAUACAACAUAAUGCCGGGAGGGGACAUCCCCUGCCGGUCAAAGGAGGCGACCCCGGUCAUGGAUGGGCAUGCGGCGCAUUAGGUAGUUGGUGGGGCAACGGCCCACCAAGCCGACGAUGCGUAGGGGUUCUGAGAGGAAGGUCCCCCACAUUGGAACUGAGACACGGUCCAAACUCCUACGGAAGGCAGCAG